AACAAGGCGUACCUGCGGACCUGCGGAAGGAUCAUUAAAGAGUUACAAAACUCCCACCAUUGUGAACGAACCUUUUAUGCUCAGGCGAGCGGCGCUCUGUCGCUGCAAGCCGACGGCAUUAAACUCUUAAUUCAGUGAAUAUCUGAGUAGCUUAUUUAAUAAGUCAAAACUUUUAGCAACGGAUCU
rnacentral:misc_RNA from 1 species